ensembl:lncRNA
CCUAUCUCUACAUAACAGAGCUGGUGCUUCAAGGAUCAAAUGAGAUUAUGUAUGUGAAAUCACCUUGAAAAGGACCAUGAAUGUAAGACACAAUUGCAGCUGCUGUGAAGCAAAUUUUGGAACAAUGGAUUGAUUCGUUGUAUAAAAGGAAUUAGCCUUGAGAUAAAACCAAGAUUGUAAAAAACUCUCCUGAAGAAAAUGCUGAGCAGCUACUUGUAAGUAGAACCAAAUCCUUCCAAGGAAGAUUUGGGAGAUAGUCAUAAGCUGGUAAAUACCUGGAGAUAAUCAUAAGCUGGGGUCAUGAUCUUUCCUUCCAUAAAGAAGGAUCAGGCCAAGAUGCAGAGACAAGGGACCUAUGCUGUGAACUAUUUCACAAGAAAGGGUCAGUUACUAUAACAAGAGCUAGUGAAGGUGGGAGGGGGCAGUGGAAUGAUUAUAUUUAGUAGACACUGGAAAAGGGAAAAGGAGAAAAGAGGUUGAUUAUCAGGUAAAGGCUGAAGAAGACAAUAAUCAGAGAUGCCUUGAGCGCUCGUCUCCCUUUGUUCUGAAGAAGAUUAAGCAAUGUACUAAUUGAUUUUUCCCCCACUGUGUCUGUUUUUGUCUUUGCAGAAUGGAGGCAUUGUAUGGGCCACUCCUUGAGGGAAACAAGCAUGAGGCAGGUCAGGAAAAGAAGGAAAGAGGCAGAACUUCCAAAGAACAGAUUUGUCAAGAAGAGGUAGGCACCUCAAAUAAAACUGCUCAGCAAUGGAGUGCUACCGUGUAAUAAAAAAGAAUGAACCACUGAUACACUCAACGACAUGAAUAACUCUCAAACUAUGCUGAAUGAAAAAAGCUGGACACCAAUGAAUACAUUCUGUAUGAUUCCAUUGGCAGAAAACUAGAAAAUGAAAACUAACCUGUAGUGACAAAAAACAGGUCAGUGGUUUUCCUUAUUACAAAGGUCCAUGAGGAAACUUUGGGAGGAAGAUGAAUAUGUUCAUUAUCUUGGUUGUAGUGAUAGUUUCAUGGGUGUGUACGUAUGUCUUGUAAGAUUGUGCACUUUAAAUACGGGAAGUUUAUUGUAGGUCAGUUGUAUUGCUCUAUGCAUGUUAUAUUCCUCUAUAUACAUAUUAUUUCCAGAAAAACAUAAUUUCCAGAAAAAACUGCUGAGCAACAUAGCACAUAAACAGGCAAUGGGCAGAGCUCUCAAGUGACUCUUCAAUUGGUGACUAUCUGACUCUCAGAGACAUUUUUGGGGACUAAGUUUCUUACUUGCUGCAAAUGUCAGCUCUGAAGAGCAAGAUUGUGUUUUCACUGAGUUGUGAAUACAGAAAUCAUAUAUUUGAAAUCUUAUGGCUAUGACCCAGUGAAUAUAGUUCCUUUUUUAAAAUUUUAAUUUCAUAACCUUUGGUCUGGUUACUAGACAUAGGCUGCACAGUAAAUCAAAACAAGAACUUGUUC